CCGCGGGCCUGGUCCUGGUCGCCGCUCUCCCCUCGGGGAGGCCCCGAAGCCCCGGACCCGUAGUCCCUCCCGGAGCGACGGCGACCUACCUGGCUCCUCCUCCCCGAGUCACUGGUCUCCUGACCAAAAGACCAGAUUUCAACUCAAGGCACUCCCAUAUGCCGAGGGCUAACCUUUGACUCCACCGUCCUUCAAGAGAAAGAAACUUGGAAGGCUUCCUCUUUGUUGGAAGCAUUUCAACUACAUGUAUAUUUAAUUGUUUGAGCUUAUCAGGAGUUGGUAUUGAUAUGCUUCACCAGUGUAGUGGUGCUCGCCGUUGAACAGAAAAACGUGGCUCUACCCUCCCUGAUCCAUCAGACAUCUGGAGAUAGAACAGGCUGAACCAAGCACAUCUGAACUGUCCUGGCUGCUCCUGGGCAGCUGAGGAAGGGCACCCAUAGUGUUCUGAGCAGAGUUGGAAGAACACCAGAGCUGAGAUGAGUCAGAGGCUCUCAAAGUGUGUGGUGAAAGAAUGGAAGGGAAGAGAGAUUACAAAAGUCCAAAUAUGCCAGACUCCAAAGUCCACAUUCUUUCUAUGCUAUCAGCGGGAUUCUGCCACUUACUCUUAUGUUUUCUAAACCUGGUUGUUCUUAACAGCAAAAUGGGGAUAAAAUAUGUGCCCCACCUAGCUCUUAGGAUGUUUUGAGAAGUCAUGUGAAAGAAUUGUAGUAGUCUGUGAAACAGGUUUGGAUUCCAAUAGCAAAUAAUCCAAAUUCAAAUAAAGAAGAU